CGCUUGGUGGGAGGCAACCCACUGGUAAGUGUCAUUAACAUUAGGAUUUUCUUUUUCACUUAUUUUUGUUUUUAGUUUGUUGAGUCUCAGGUCACAAAUCAGAAAAUCCGAGACCCUUGACUGGAGCAAGCAGCUGGCUGCUCUUAUUCCAGAGCAUCCUUUACCGGAGCAACCGCGUCUUGCUCUGUCAGGCUGCUCCGCGCCAGGUAAGUAUCUCGAACAAAAAAAAAUGUUUAUUCUUGAUUUCACCUU
rnacentral:lncRNA from 1 species